UACGGAGGAUGCGAGCGUUAUCCGGAUUUAUUGGGUUUAAAGGGUGCGUAGGCGGAUCGUUAAGUCAGUGGUCAAAUUGAGGGGCUCAACCCCUUCCCGCCAUUGAAACUGGCGAUCUGGAGUGGAAGAGAAGUAUGCGGAAUGCGUGGUGUAGCGGUGAAAUGCAUAGAUAUCACGCAGAACCCCGAUUGCGAAGGCAGCAUGCCGGCUUCCUACUGACGCUGAAGCACGAAAGCGUGGGGAUCGAACGGG
rnacentral:rRNA from 1 species